UACGUAGGGGGCAAGCGUUGUCCGGAUUUAUUGGGCGUAAAGAGCGUGUAGGCGGCUUGGUAGGUCCGCUGUGAAAACUCGAGGCUCAACCUCGAGAUGGCGGCGGAAACCACUUGGCUAGAGUCCGGAAGAGGAGAGUGGAAUUCCCGGUGUAGCGGUGAAAUGCGCAGAUAUCGGGAAGAACACCUAUGGCGAAGGCAGCUCUCUGGGACGGUACUGACGCUGAGACGCGAAAGCGUGGGGAGCGAACAGG
rnacentral:rRNA from 1 species